GAAGGAGUACGUUGAUGGCGGCGAGACUGCAACCUUCGGUAGUCGUGGAAGAUGCGGCUUCUUCUAGCAGGUCGGAAAGCUUGGCACAUGCCAUGCCUCUGCUGCUUCCGUGCGCCGUCCUGUUCGGAGCGGUGGCGGCCUUUUUCGUUGGCUGGACCAGCACGCUCAUCCUCUACAAGACCAACAUCUUCCACAGGAAUCCGCUCCGAGACAACGCGUUCAACGCAGAGGCUGUCAUUGCGUAUAACGCGAGUGCUACCCUGGAAGAUGGUCGUCCCCCACCUGGACGCCAGUACCAGGCGUCGCGCCGUAACGAAAGUGCGGCUACUUUGACCAACAUAGAAGAAUUCCUGCGCACACAGUAGAAAUUACCAGCUCAUUUAUUGCGUUUGUCUCAUCUUCAAGCAAGCAGUCCAGUGGCGCAUAAUUGUGCGUGGCGCUGUACCACAUCGCUACAUGCCAACACAUAAUCCCUUGUAUCCAGCUUUCACUAAAUGUUCGUAAAGGCUGUGUUAUCUACA